CUGGCCUCUCCUUGGGCAGAGGAGAGAUGUUGCACAACCUACCUUCAUCUCCUCCCUGAGCUCCAGCCUGAUGGUGUCCUCCUCCCAGUGCUGCAUCUUUGGAAUGGCCCCCUGGUUCUGAUAAAAGGUGGUCCAUAAAGCUGCUCUGGAGCCAAAAUAUUGCAGUCACAUCUCGGCAGCGACCUGCCCUCAGGUGGCAUUUUCAAGUCAUGGAGAAGGUGGAGAGAGAAGCAAUCAGCAGCCACCCACUGCAGCUGGAGACCCCAGAACUUGGUGUCUGCCUCCCAUGGCACUGGGAAGGCUGGAGACAGGUUAGAAAAAUCACCCCCUCUCUCCCACAGCCACCUGGCUCACAGGUGCCUUUAGAAGUAACAUUUCAUGUGAGGGCUACACUGCCCCAUUUUAGAGGUGGGGAAACAAAGGCCCGGAGGGCUAGGGAGGAGGGCAGGCUCCCCAGUUUGGG